rnacentral:rRNA from 1 species
AUUGAACGCUGGCGGCAUGCCUUACACAUGCAAGUCGAACGGCAGCACGGGAGCUUGCUCCUGGUGGCGAGUGGCGAACGGGUGAGUAAUACAUCGGAACGUACCCUGAAGUGGGGGAUAACGUAGCAAAAGUUACGCUAAUACCGCAUAUUCUGUGAGCAGGAAAGAGGGGGGAUCGCAAGACCUCUUGCUUUAGGAGCGGCCGAUGUCGGAUUAGCUAGUUGGUGAGGUAAAGGCUCACCAAGGCGACGAUCCGUAGCGGGUCUGAGAGGAUGAUCCGCCACACUGGGACUGAGACACGGCCCAGACUCCUACGGGAGGCAGCAGUGGGGAAUUUUGGACAAUGGGCGCAAGCCUGAUCCAGCCAUGCCGCGUGAGU